GACGAACGCUGGCGGCGUGCUUAACACAUGCAAGUCGAACGGAAAGGCCCUGCUUUUGUGGGGUGCUCGAGUGGCGAACGGGUGAGUAACACGUGAGUAACCUGCCCUUGACUUUGGGAUAACUUCAGGAAACUGGGGCUAAUACCGGAUAGGAGCUCCUGCUGCAUGGUGGGGGUUGGAAAGUUUCGGCGGGUGGGGAUGGACUCGCGGCUUAUCAGCUUGUUGGUGGGGUAGUGGCUUACCAAGGCUUUGACGGGUAGCCGGCCUGGAGGGGGGACCGGCCACAUUUGGGAGGGGGAGACGCCCCAAACCCUCCCGGGGGGGAGAGGGGGGGAAUAUUGCCCAAGGGGGGGGAGAGCAUGGCGGCAACGCGGCGGGGGGGGGGAGGGCCUCCGGGGUGUAAGCCCUUUUCCCCGUGGAGAAGGCGUGAGGGGGGGUAAUGGGGAAAAAACACCCGCUUAAUCAGGG
rnacentral:rRNA from 1 species